rnacentral:tRNA from 1 species
GGAUGUGGCUCAGUGGUAGCGCGCUCGUCUGGCAUGCGUGAGGCACUGGGUUCAAUCCUAAGCACCA